rnacentral:rRNA from 1 species
UGGGGAAUUUUGGACAAUGGGCGAAAGCCUGAUCCAGCAAUGCCGCGUGUGUGAAGAAGGCCUUCGGGUUGUAAAGCACUUUUGUCCGGAAAGAAAUCCUUGGCUCUAAUACAGUCGGGGGAUGACGGUACCGGAAGAAUAAGCACCGGCUAACUACGUGCCAGCAGCCGCGGUAAUACGUAGGGUGCAAGCGUUAAUCGGAAUUACUGGGCGUAAAGCGUGCGCAGGCGGUUUGCUAAGACCGAUGUGAAAUCCCCGGGCUCAACCUGGGAACUGCAUUGGUGACUGGCAGGCUAGAGUAUGGCAGAGGGGGGUAGAAUUCCACGUGUAGCAGUGAAAUGCGUAGAGAUGUGGAGGAAUACCGAUGGCGAAGGCAGCCCCCUGGGCCAAUACUGACGCUCAUGCACGAAAGCGUGGGGGAGCAAACAGGAUUAGAUACCCUGGUAGUCCACGCCCUAAACGAUGUCAACUAGUUGUUGGGGAUUCAUUUCCUUAGUACGUAGCUAACGCGUGAAGUUGACCGCCUGGGGAGUACGGUCGCAAGAUUAAACUUAAUGAAUUGACGGGGUCAUAGCUGUUUCCU